AUUGCAAAUGGAUGCAAUGCUGCUGAAAUUUUCCCAGGAUUCUUCCAGAGCAACAAAGUUGCAGUGAAAAGAGUUGCAAAGCAUAUUUCUCAAAAUGAGAAUAAAAUGGCACAUGUCCUAUGUUCAGAAACAUUCAAAGCAGAACAUCUUUUACAACCAAUUGCAGUGUUGGAAGAUAAUUACUUUGCUUAUUUUGUCUCCCCUCUCUGCAAAUACAGUCUGGCGGAGGUAAUUGAAAACAAGAACUUUCCUGACAGAGAAAGUUUGACUGAGGCUCAAAGACUGGGGAUCUGCCAGGAGCUACUGCAAGGACGACAAGAACUCCAUUCACGCGGGAUUUUGCACAGAGACCUGAAGCCCGAAAACAUUUUGUUUGAUAUCAGCAACAAAUUGUUUAUCGCAGAUUUUGGAGCAAGCAGGAAACUGGAUUUGGCACAAUCAGCUUUGCAGUCUCAAAUGGCUGGAUCUUUGUCUUGGUCAAGUUAUGAAGAUGUUUGAGGCAUGCAAUACAAAUACAAGAAAGAGUCAGAUAUCCAGGUGUGCCAUAUCAAGAUGCUGAUUAGACACCAUGAUUAGUGCACAGGUGUGCCUUAGACUGCCCACAAUAAAAGGCCACUCUGAAAGGUGCAGUUUUAUCACACAGCACAAUGCCACAGAUGUGGCAAGAUUUGAGGGAGCGUGCAAUUGGCAUGCUGACAGCAGGAAUGUCAACCAGAGCUGUUGCUCGUGUGUUGAAUGUUCAUUUCUCUACCAUAAGCUGUCUCCAAAGGCGUUUCAGAGAAUUUGGCAGGACAUCCAACUAGCCUCACAACCGCAGACCACGUGUAACCACACCAGCCCAGGACCUCCACAUCCAGCAUGUUCACUUCCAAGAUGGUCUGAGACCAGUCACUCGGACAGCUGCUGAAACAAUCGGUUUGCAUAACCAAAGAAUUUGUGCACAAACUGUCAGAAACCGUCUCAGGGAAGCUCAUCUGCAAGCUUGUCAUCCUCAUCGGGGUCUCCACCUGACUCCAGUUCGUCGUCGUAACCGACUUGAGUGGGCAAAUGCUCACAUUUGAUGGCGUCUGGCACGUUGGAGAGGUGUUCUCUUCAUGGAUGAAUCCCGGUUUACACUCUUCAGGGCAGAUGGCAGACAGCGUGUGUGGUGUCGUGUGGACAACAGGGUGCCUGGUGCAUUACAUACUGACAGAUGGAGAGCACCCCUAUCAAGCAACUACACCCUACUCCAACGAUCCACUGGCGUUAUUUCAAAAUCUCAGAGCGGGCACCUUUACUCUUCAGUGCGAGGAAAGGCAUCAAGGUAUCAUUGGCAGAAUGCUGUGUAAAUCGACAGAAGCAU